AAACGUCCUAAAGUCGAAACACGGCCCCAAAGGGUUAUGAUUCAUGAUUGGGGUG
rnacentral:rRNA from 1 species